rnacentral:rRNA from 1 species
AGUGAACGCUGGCGGUAGGCCUAACACAUGCAAGUCGAACGGCAGCACAGUAAUAGCUUGCUCUUACGGGUGGCGAGUGGCGGACGGGUGAUGAAUACAUCGGAAUCUACUUUUUCUUGGGGGCGAACGUAGGGAAACUUACGCUAAUACCGCAUACGACCUACGGGUGAAAGCAGGGGAUCUUCGGACCUUGCGCGAUUGAAUGAGCCGAUGUCGGAUUAGCUAGUUGGCGGGGUAAAGGCCCACCAAUGCGACGAUCCGUAGCUGGUCUGAGAGGAUGAUCAGCCAACAUGGGAAUGAGACGAGGUCCAGAAUCCUACGGGAGGCAGCAGUGGGGAAUAUUGGAACAUGGGCGCAAGACUGAUCCAGCCAUAGCGCGUGGGUGAAGAAGGCCCUCCGGUUGGAAAGGCCCUUUGUUGGGAAAGAAAAGCAGCAGGUUAAUACCCCGCCGUUCUGACGGUAACCAAAGAAUAAGCACCGGCUAAAUUCGUGC